UACGAAGGGGGCUAGCGUUGUUCGGAAUCACUGGGCGUAAAGCGCACGUAGGCGGAUCUUUAAGUCAGGGGUGAAAUCCCGAGGCUCAACCUCGGAACUGCCUUUGAUACUGGGGAUCUCGAGUCCGGGAGAGGUGAGUGGAAUUCCUAGUGUAGAGGUGAAAUUCGUAGAUAUUAGGAAGAACACCAGUGGCGAAGGCGGCUCACUGGCCCGGUACUGACGCUGAGGCGCGAAAGCGUGGGGAGCAAACAGGG
rnacentral:rRNA from 1 species